AGGGCUUCGGCCCUUAGUAAAGUGGCGGACGGGUGAGUAACACGUGGAUUAUCUGCCCUUCGGCGGGGGACAACAGUCCGAAAGGAUUGCUAAUACCGCAUACGUCCAAGAGGUCUAACGGCCUUUUGGGGAAAGAUGGCCUCUCCAUGGAAGCUAUCUCCGAAGGAUGAGUCCGCGUCCCAUCAGCUAGUUGGCGGUGUAAGAGACCACCAAGGCGAAGACGGGUAGCUGGUCUGAGAGGAUGGCCAGCCACACUGGAACUGAGACACGGUCCAGACUCCUACGGGAGGCAGCAGUGGGGAAUAUUGGGCAAUGGGCGCAAGCCUGACCCAGCCAUGCCGCGUGAGUGAUGAAGGCCUUCGGGUCGUAAAGCUCUGUGGAGAGGGAAGAAACCCGCUAUGGCUAAUAUCCAUGGCGAUUGACGGUACCUCUUUAGCAAGCACCGGCUAACUCCGUGCCAGCAGCCGCGGUAA
rnacentral:rRNA from 1 species